rnacentral:rRNA from 1 species
UAACGCGUGGGUAACCUGCCUCAUACAGGGGGAUAACAGUUAGAAAUGACUGCUAAUACCGCAUAAGACCACGGAGCCGCAUGGCUCAGUGGGAAAAACUCCGGUGGUAUGAGAUGGACCCGCGUCUGAUUAGGUAGUUGGUGGGGUAACGGCCUACCAAGCCAACGAUCAGUAGCCGACCUGAGAGGGUGACCGGCCACAUUGGGACUGAGACACGGCCCAAACUCCUACGGGAGGCAGCAGUGGGGAAUAUUGCACAAUGGGGGAAACCCUGAUGCAGCGACGCCGCGUGAGCGAAGAAGUAUUUCGGUAUGUAAAGCUCUNUCAGCAGGGAAGAAAAUGACGGUACCUGACUAAGAAGCACCGGCUAAAUACGUGCCAGCAGCCGCGGUAAUACGUAUGGUGCAAGCGUUAUCCGGAUUUACUGGGUGUAAAGGGAGCGUAGACGGCUGUGUAAGUCUGAAGUGAAAGCCCGGGGCUCAACCCCGGGACUGCUUUGGAAACUAUGCAGCUAGAGUGUCGGAGAGGUAAGUGGAAUUCCCAGUGUAGCGGUGAAAUGCGUAGAUAUUGGGAGGAACACCAGUGGCGAAGGCGGCUUACUGGACGAUGACUGACGUUGAGGCUCGAAAGCGUGGGGGAGCAAACAGGAUUAGAUACCCUGGUAGUCCACGCCGUAAACGAUGACUACUAGGUGU